rnacentral:rRNA from 1 species
UACGUAGGGUGCGAGCGUUGUCCGGAAUUACUGGGCGUAAAGAGCUCGUAGGUGGUUUGUCGCGUUGUUCGUGAAAUCUCACGGCUUAACUGUGAGCGUGCGGGCGAUACGGGCAGACUAGAGUACUGCAGGGGAGACUGGAAUUCCUGGUGUAGCGGUGGAAUGCGCAGAUAUCAGGAGGAACACCGAUGGCGAAGGCAGAUCUCUGGGCCGUUACUGACGCUGAGGAGCGAAAGCGUGGGGAGCGAACAGG